AGCCCCACUCUAGCCCAAUCACCCCAAAUGACACCAAACAACCAAAAUCCACUCCCACACCUAAACUAAAACAUUCUCCACCAACCUAGUAUAGGCGAUAGAAAAGAACCCAUGGCGCUAUAGAGUUCAACUCGUACCGUAAGGGAAAGAUGAAAUAGCAAUGAAAACCCAAGCAAUAAAUAGCAAAGAUAAACCCUUAUACCUCUUGCAUAAUGGUUUAGCAAGAACAACCAAGCAAAAUGAAUUUAAGCUUGCCCCCCCGAAACCCAUGUGAGCUACUUACGAGCAGCUAUCCAUGAGCGAACCCGUCUCUGUAGCAAAAGAGUGGGAUGACUUGUUAGUAGAGGUGAAAAUCCAACCGAACUGGGUGAUAGCUGGUUGCCUGCAAAACGAAUAUAAGUUCUCCCCUGACCCUCCCCAUAGGACACUUAACUUUAGCCUUAAUGUAAUGGUCAGGAGCAAAUUAAAGGAGGUACAGCUCCUUUAAAAAAGGACACAACCUACACUAGCGGAUAACCACCCCAUUCCACCUCAUUGUGGGCCCUCAAGCAGCCACCAACAAAUGAGUGCGUCAAAGCUCCCUAAAGAAAAAUCUGCACACAGCAUGACUCCCUCCCACAUAGCAGGCUAACCUAUAACAAUAGGAGAAUUAAUGCUAAAAUGAGUAACCGGGGUCACCCCUCUUAAGCGCAAACUUACUACCACAUGUAUUAACAGAUCAACUAAUAUUUAAAUUCCAACAAGACUAAAUAUUCACCCUACUGUUAACCCAACCCAGGAGCGCCUUCUAGAAAGAUUAAAAUCUGUAAAAGGAACUAGGCAAACCCAAGACCCGACUGUUUACCAAAAACAUAGCCUUUAGCAGACCAAGUAUUAAAGGUGAUGCCUGCCCAGUGACAUCAUGUUUAACGGCCGCGGUAUCCUAACCGUGCGAAGGUAGCGCAAUCAAUUGUCCCAUAAAUCGAGACUUGUAUGAAUGGCUAAACGAGGUCUUAACUGUCUCUUACAGAUAAUCAGUGAAAUUGAUCUUCUCGUGCAAAAGCGAGAAUAAACCCAUAAGACGAGAAGACCCUGUGGAACUUAAAAAUCAAUAGCCACAACCCACUAAACAAAAACCUACCAGGCCUACUAUAACCCAAAUGCUUGGCUUAUAUUUUUCGGUUGGGGCGACCUUGGAGAAAAACCUAACCUCCAAAAACAAGACCUUCCCUCUUAACUAAGAGCAACCCCUCAAUGUACAAACAGUAACCAGACCCAAUACAAUUGACUAAUGAACCAAGCUACCCCAGGGAUAACAGCGCAAUCUCCUCCAAGAGCCCAUAUCGACAAGGAGGUUUACGACCUCGAUGUUGGAUCAGGACAUCCUAAUGGUGCAGCCGCUAUUAAGGGUUCGUUUGUUCAACGAUUAAUAGUCCUACGUGAUCUGAGUUCAGACCGGAGCAAUCCAGGUCGGUUUCUAUCUAUGACUUGCUCUCCCCAGUACGAAAGGACCGGAAGAGCAGGGCCCAGGCUACAAGCAAGCCCUCACCCCAAAAAUAAUGCACCCAACUAAAUUAUUAAAGGGACCCCAACUACAUCUCCUAGAAAAGGAGC
rnacentral:rRNA from 1 species